ACCCUAUUUCAUUAAAAAGAGAUUAUGGGAUGUCUCAAAUUUAAAGAUCCUUCUUCUUCCUCCCGUCCCAACCUAGAAACCUCAACCUAGAUCUCUCAAAAAAAUCCUAAAAUCUCUUAAAACCAAGAUCUACUCUCCCUAAAUCUACUGUUCUCACGGCUCAUUUUUCAGUUUUUUUCAAAUUCCAAAUCCUAAUCCUCAAAUUUGUGAGAAACUCUUCAAAAAAUGUCCUCUCCAUUUAGUUACACUUCAAUCUGCAUCCUUCUCC
rnacentral:lncRNA from 1 species